rnacentral:lncRNA from 1 species
GGCAGCCUCAAGCCUUCCCAGAUUCAAGUGAGCUUCGUGGGAGAUGUAGUGUAGAAUUCGUGGCCAUAUUUUCCUAUUGCCUCUUUACCCCACGGGCUGUCUGCGAUGGCGGAUGAGGGAAGAUGGCCUUGCGACUUACUCACUCUGUUGGUUGCCUUUGCUGCUGACACCCAUCAGCUGCACUCUGCUUGCUCAUAGAACCCUGGUUUGGUUCAGGUAUUGGUGACUACUCUUUGGAGGAUGGCAGGUCCCUGCGUAGGCCCAGGAGGUGGGAGAAAGUGGAUUAGAGCCUCAUACUAAUCCACAGCUAUUUGUCUACAUGUUUAUUGUCUGCCCCUCCAUUAGGAUGAGGACUCCUGGAGGAUGUAGAUCUUGUCCGCCAUCUUGGCUCUAGUGUCUUCAGCACCAAGUACAAUGCCUGCUCCAAUAUCUGUGGAAUAAAUAAAUGAGUGAGCAAAC